AUGGCAGUAGCUUUGUGAUGGAGCCCCCGCUUCCUACGCGGGAAGACCUGGGUUCGAUUCCCGGCUGCUUUC
rfam:Toxocara canis scaffold5, whole genome shotgun sequence.